AAUACCAUCAAACAAAAAGCAAAAAGUGUCACACAUGAGUAUUGAACCCUUCCCACCUAAUAUUAUGCAACUGCCAUCUCUCCACUAGGACACUCAACAAUAUUUGCUACUGAGAUACUACCAUAAAUAUAUGAACAGGGCUAAAAGUUUAAAAAUAAAAACAAAAACAAGAAAAUUCAUGGUUUUUAUAUUAUUUCUGUAAAAAACAAAUUGAGUUAAAUGAAUAAAAAGAAAAUAAAUUAAUAAAAAAGAAAACAGAAAAAAGAAAAUGGGAACGGGGAAGAGAAUACAGAGGAGUUCGUCUUCCUCCCUCUCUCUCUCUCUCGCAAGCUCAAAACUUCCCCAACAAUGGCAACCUCACGCACCCCAGACUUCACAUUUCACUCAAUCUCACUCUUGCUCUCAACGAAACCCCUUUCAAACACUCUCAGCUCUCACAAAAACAGUCAAACAACAAGCAUAAAGAGAGAGAAAGAGAGGUCCUUACCGAGUAUCACUGCAGUGGUGGUGAAGGAUGCGAAGAAAUUGGCCUCCAGGUAAACGAAUUUGGGACUUUAGGUUUUCCUGCUUCAGAUUUUUGCCUCCAGCUCUCUGUUGUUCUCUAGGGUUUGCUUUCUUACUGAUUCCUCCCUUUUUAUAGUCCCGUUGCUAGGGUUUGGAUGAGCUCAAAAGAGUAUGGAAUUGGAAGUGUUUUCUUUUUUGUGCUGCUCUGUUGUCUAU
rnacentral:lncRNA from 1 species